rnacentral:rRNA from 1 species
UGGGGGAAUUUUGGACAAUGGGGGGAAACCCUGAUCCAGCCAUCCCGCGUGUGCGAUGAAGGCCUUCGGGUUGUAAAGCACUUUUGGCAGGAAAGAAACGUCGCGGGUUAAUACCCCGCGAAACUGACGGUACUUGCAGAAUAAGCACCGGCUAACUACGUGCCAGCAGCCGCGGUAAUACGUAGGGUGCAAGCGUUAAUCGGAAUUACUGGGCGUAAAGCGUGCGCAGGCGGUUCGGAAAGAAAGAUGUGAAAUCCCAGAGCUUAACUUUGGAACUGCAUUUUUAACUACCGGGCUAGAGUGUGUCAGAGGGAGGUGGAAUUCCGCGUGUAGCAGUGAAAUGCGUAGAUAUGCGGAGGAACACCGAUGGCGAAGGCAGCCUCCUGGGAUAACACUGACGCUCAUGCACGAAAGCGUGGGGGAGCAAACAGGAUUAGAUACCCUGGUAGUCCACGCCCUAAACGAUGUCAACUAGCUGUUGGGGCCUUCGGGCCUUGGUAGCGCAGCUAACGCGUGAAGUUGACCGCCUGGGGAGUAC